rnacentral:rRNA from 1 species
CGUCCCGCCGGCGACCGGCGCACGGGUGAGUAACACGUAUGCAACCUGGCCGCCACAGGGGGAUAACCCGCGGAAACGCGGCCUAAUACCCCGUGACGCCACCGGAGGGCAUCCUCCGGUGGCCAAAGGAGCGAUCCGGUGGCGGAUGGGCAUGCGGCGCAUUAGCUAGACGGCGGGGUGACGGCCCACCGUGGCGACGAUGCGUAGGGGUUCUGAGAGGAAGGCCCCCCACACUGGGACUGAGACACGGUCCAAACUCCUACGGAAGGCAGCAG